CAGAGAUUAAUAUAGUAGGGUGAUUAGAUAUCGACUGAGAUUAAAAUUGUCUCUGGUUAGUAGAGUCAUUUACUUGGCUUAGUGAAAUUCAGGAUUAUCUUGUUUAGUAUGGGUUACUUAGUUGAAUUAGUUGAAUAAAAAUGGAAGAAUAAGUAGGUUUAUUUUAUGGGUGGAAUAGUUAUCUUUUUUCUCGGUGAUUGCUUUCAACUGUUUAUUAAGAACAUUGUUAUUUGUGUAAGAGGUAAAUAGUAUGACCUGCCCAAUGAACAGAUAUUUGAACGGCCGCAGCUUUUCGCUGUGCUAAGGUAGCAUAAUAUAUAGUUUUUUAAUUGGGGACUUGUGAAUGGUUUAAUGAAGGGUGUCUAAAAUAAUAAUUAUUUCUGAAAUUAAUUUAGUGGUAAGGAAUCCACUAUUACAAUAUAGGACGGAAAGACCCCAAGAGCUUUACAGUAUUUUAUUUUAUUUGGGGUAAAUGUUAAUAAUUCAUUUAUUUUAAGAUCCUAAUGGAUAAAGGGUAAAGUUACCUUGGGGAUAACUGAGUAAAGAAUGGGGAGAGGUCAAAUUGAUCCAUUUGUUACUACCUCGAUGUUGGCUUGUUGAACCUUUUCGGUGUAGAGGCUGAAUAAAGGAAG
rnacentral:rRNA from 1 species